GACGAACGCUGGCGGCGUGCUUAACACAUGCAAGUCGAACGGAAAGGCCCUUUCGGGGGUACUCGAGUGGCGAACGGGUGAGUAACACGUGGGUGAUCUGCCCUGCACUUUGGGAUAAGCUUGGGAAACUGGGUCUAAUACCGAAUACACCCUGCUGGUCGCAUGGCCUGGUGGGGGAAAGCUUUUGCGGUGUGGGAUGGGCCCGCGGCCUAUCAGCUUGUUGGUGGGGUGAUGGCCACCAAGGCGACGACGGGUAGCCGGCCUGAGAGGGUGUCCGGCCACACUGGGACUGAGAUACGGCCCAGACUCCUACGGGAGGCAGCAGUGGGGAAUAUUGCACAAUGGCGCAAGCCUGAUGCAGCGACG
rnacentral:rRNA from 1 species